AGUUAUGGCCAUGCCGCCCUGAACAAGACCUAAAAUGUCUGAUCUCGGAAGCUAAGCAGGGUCGGGCCUGGUUACUACUUGGAUGGUAGACCACCUAGGAAGACCAGGUGCUGUAGGCA
rnacentral:rRNA from 1 species